UGAGGAAUAUUGGUCAAUGGGCGGGAGCCUGAACCAGCCAAGUAGCGUGAAGGAUGAAGGUUCUAUGGAUUGUAAACUUCUUUUACAGGGGAAUAAAGUGCACCACGUGUGGUGUUUUGUAUGUACCCUAUGAAUAAGGACCGGCUAACUCCGUGCCAGCAGCCGCGGUAAUACGGAGGGUCCAAGCGUUAUCCGGAUUUACUGGGUGUAAAGGGAGCGUAGGCGGCAAGACAAGUCUGAUGUGAAAGGCUGGGGCUCAACCCCAGGACUGCAUUGGAAACUGUCUCGCUUGAGUGUCGGAGAGGUAAGUGGAAUUCCUAGUGUAGCGGUGAAAUGCUUAGAUAUCAUACAGAACACCGAUUGCGAAGGCAGCUUACCAAACUAUGUCUGACGUUGAGGCACGAAAGCGUGGGUAGCAAACA
rnacentral:rRNA from 1 species